GUACCCUGGGUUCUUUUCAGAUCGUAAAAAUCUUUAGCCUUUUACUAAAGGUUUCUGUGGAGAGGAACACUCAAGAGUUUUAACCAAUUUCUUGACCAGAACCUCAAAAUAUCUUCU